GUGGGUAUGCGAUAAUAUUACUGUUGAUGUUCGGGACGUAUGCCGCUGCUGCCGCGCGGUAUGUACUUCUACCCACAGCGGCAGUGAAUAUCGCUCAGGUUUGAAUUGGCCUUAAAUACCAAAACUGCAGUAGAUACCAAUGAUUCGAAAAUGGUGAAUAUGGAGGAGCCUAUCUCCUAGGUGAUAGGGGAUACCCUCUGGAGGUAAGAAGUAGGCUAAUAUUGUACAUAAUAAAAUAUAUAAAUUAAAACAAAGAUAGUAAACAAAUAUUUUAAUAUUAGUCCUCAUAUGAUGUACCAAACAUUAUCAUCAUCCUCCUGCACCAAUUCAAUUUGAGGUGGGCUGGGCGCAGCAUGUUUUUACACGUCUUUCCAAUUUCUCGCACCACCUGAAACUAAAUAAAUAUAAUAAAUGUAUAAUUUUAACCCCAUACUUAAAUCCAUCAACUCAUGGAGAACAAAAAUACAAUGAAGUCGACAGUAAAACAAGGAACACAGUUGAACGACAAUAUCUUAUAUUAUUAUACACAGAUAUUAUUCACAUUUACCUGUAAACGGUUCCUAUCGCAUUAAAACUAUUUGUAACUGGAUCCAAGCUUUGUUUUUGGCUUCGUUCGUGGUCCCAUCCGUUUUUUGUUUAAUAUUGUGUCUCUAUGAGACGUCAGCAAUUUCACUAGCUUGUCUUUUUCUUCU